GGGCCUCUAGCUCAACUGGUUAGAGCAGCGGACUUUUAAUCCGCGGGUUGUGGGUUCGAGCCCCACGGGGCCUACCU
rnacentral:tRNA from 1 species